rnacentral:rRNA from 1 species
GGUAACGGCUCACCAAGUCAAUGAUCUUAGGGGUCCUGAGAGGGAGAUCCCCCACACUGGUACUGAGACACGGACCAGACUCCUACGGGAGGCAGCAGUGAGGAAUAUUGGACAAUGGGUGAGAGCCUGAUCCAGCCAUCCCGCGUGAAGGAUGACGGUCCUAUGGAUUGUAAACUUCUUUUGUAUAGGAAUAAACCUACCCUCGUGAGGGUAGCUGAAGGUACUAUACGAAUAAGCACCGGCUAACUCCGUGCCAGCAGCCGCGGUAAUACGGAGGGUGCAAGCGUUAUCCGGAUUUAUUGGGUUUAAAGGGUCCGUAGGCGGACCGAUAAGUCAGUGGUGAAAUCUCAUAGCUUAACUAUGAAACUGCCGUUGAUACUGUCGGUCUUGAGUAAAUUAGAGGUAGCUGGAAUAAGUAGUGUAGCGGUGAAAUGCAUAGAUAUUACUUAGAACACCAAUUGCGAAGGCAGGUUACCAUGAUUUAACUGACGCUGAGGGACGAAAGCGUGGGGAGCGAACAGGAUUAGAUACCCUGGUAGUCCACGCCGUAAACGAUGCUAACUCGUUUUUGGGGCGCAAGCUUCAGAGACCAAGCGAAAGUGAUAAGUUAGCCACCUGGGGAGUACGUUCGCAAGAAUGAAACUCAAAGGAAUUGACGGGGGCCCGCACAAGCGGUGGAUUAUGUGGUUUAAUUCGAUGAUACGCGAGGAACCUUACCAAGACUUAAAUGGGAAAUGACAGGUUUAGAAAUAGAUCCUUCUUCGGACAUUUUUCAAGGUGCUGCAUGGUUGUCGUCAGCUCGUGCCGUGAGGUGUUAGGUUAAGUCCUGCAACGAGCGCAACCCCUGUCACUAGUUGCUAACAUUCAGUUGAGGACUCUAGUGAGACUGCCUACGCAAGUAGAGAGGAAGGUGGGGAUGACGUCAAAUCAUCACGGCCCUUACGUCUUGGGCCACACACGUAAUACAAUGGCCGGUACAGAGGGCAGCUACACAGCGAUGUGAUGCAAAUCUCGAAAGCCGGUCUCAGUUCGGAUUGGAGUCUGCAACUCGACUCUAUGAAGCUGGAAUCGCUAGUAAUCGCGCAUCAGCCAUGGCGCGGUGAAUACGUUCCCGGGCCUUGUACACACCGCCCGUCAAGCCAUGGAAGUUUGGGGUACCUGAAGUCGGUGACCGUAAAAGGAGCUGCCUA